AUAUCAUGCUGAAUAUACCGGUUCUCGUUAGAUCACCGAAGUCAAGCAUCAUUGGGCGCGGUCAGUACUUGGGUGGGUGACCACCUGGGAACACCGCGUGCCGUU